CACUAGCGUAUAUUAAAGUUGUUGCAGUUAAAAAGCUCGUAGUUGGAUUUCUGACAUGGUGCGCCUGGUCCGCCCCGUAAAGGUGUGUGAGUACCGGUGUGCGCCUGUCAUCCUUCCGCAGAGCGUGUCUACCCUUCACUGGGCCGGGCAUCGCGAUGUGGAUCGUUUACUUUGAAAAAAUUAGAGUGUUCAAAGCAGGCUUACGCUGUGAAUACAUUAGCAUGGAAUAAUAAGAUAGGGCUUUGGUUCUAUUUUGUUGGUUUCUAGGACUGAAGUAAUGAUUGAUAGGGAUAGUUGGGGGUGCUAGUAUUCAACGGCCAGAGGUGAAAUUCUUGGAUUCGUUGAAGACUAACUUAUGCGAAAGCAUUCACCAAGGAUGUCUUCUUUAA
rnacentral:rRNA from 1 species